GCGCAGGAAAAGAAACCAACAGGGAUUGCCCUAGUAACGGCGAGUGAAGCGGCAACAGCUCAAAUUUGAAAUCUGGCCCUUUCAGGGUCCGAGUUGUAAUUUGUAGAGGGUGCUUUGGCGUUGGCUGUGGUCUAAGUUCCUUGGAACAGGACGUCGCAGAGGGUGAGAAUCCCGUAUGUGGCCGCCAGUCUUCGCCGUGUAAAGCCCCUUCGACGAGUCGAGUUGUUUGGGAAUGCAGCUCUAAAUGGGAGGUAAAUUUCUUCUAAAGCUAAAUAUUGGCCAGAGACCGAUAGCGCACAAGUAGAGUGAUCGAAAGAUGAAAAGCACUUUGGAAAGAGAGUCAAAAAGCACGUGAAAUUGUUGAAAGGGAAGCGCUUGCAGCCAGACUUGCCUGUAGUUGCUCAUCCGGGCUUUUGCCCGGUGCACUCUUCUAUGGCAGGCCAGCAUCAGUCCCAGCGGUUGGAUAAAUGCCUGUUGAAUGUACCUCUCUUCGGGGAGGACUUAUAGCUUCGGGCGGCAUACAACCAGCCGGGAUUGAGGUCCGCGCAUCUGCUAGGAUGCUGGCGUAAUGGCUGUAAGCGGCCCGUCUUGAAACACGGACCAAGGAGUCUAACAUCUAUGCGAGUGUUUGGGUGUCAAGCCCGAGCGCGUAAUGAAAGUGAACGGAGGUGGGAACCCCUCGGGGCGCACCAUCGACCGAUCCUGAUGUUCUCGGAUGGAUUUGA
rnacentral:rRNA from 1 species